rnacentral:rRNA from 1 species
AACACGUGGGCAAUCUGCCCUGCACUCUGGGACAAGCCCUGGAAACGGGGUCUAAUACCGGAUACGACCACUUCAGGCAUCUGAUGGUGGUGGAAAGCUCCGGCGGUGCAGGAUGAGCCCGCGGCCUAUCAGCUAGUUGGUGAGGUAACGGCUCACCAAGGCGACGACGGGUAGCCGGCCUGAGAGGGCGACCGGCCACACUGGGACUGAGACACGGCCCAGACUCCUACGGGAGGCAGCAGUGGGGAAUAUUGCACAAUGGGCGAAAGCCUGAUGCAGCGACGCCGCGUGAGGGAUGACGGCCUUCGGGUUGUAAACCUCUUUCAGCAGGGAAGAAGCGAAAGUGAUGGUACCUGCAGAAGAAGCGCCGGCUAACUACGUGCCAGCAGCCGCGGUAAUACGUAGGGCGCAAGCGUUGUCCGGAAUUAUUGGGCGUAAAGAGCUCGUAGGCGGCCUGUCACGUCGGAUGUGAAAGCCCGGGGCUUAACCCCGGGUCUGCAUUCGAUACGGGCAGGCUAGAGUUCGGUAGGGGAGAUCGGAAUUCCUGGUGUAGCGGUGAAAUGCGCAGAUAUCAGGAGGAACACCGGUGGCGAAGGCGGAUCUCUGGGCCGAUACUGACGCUGAGGAGCGAAAGCGUGGGGAGCGAACAGGAUUAGAUACCCUGGUAGUCCACGCCGUAAACGUUGGGAACUAGGUGUGGGCGACAUUCCACGUCGUCCGUGCCGCAGCUAACGCAUUAAGUUCCCCGCCUGGGGAGUACGGCCGCAAGGCUAAAACUCAAAGGAAUUGACGGGGGCUCGCACAAGCGGCGGAGCAUGUGGCUUAAUUCGACGCAACGC